CUGAGGCUGUGAAUUGAACCUGCAGCAGAGGCACAUGCCUGAGCUCCCAGCCAGGGUGAGGGUGUAUUCCUUUAAGUAAGAAAAACAAUAUCCAAAACUCCAAGCAAGAAAGAUUACCCACUGCUCAGGCAGUAUUUCAGGUGGAAGUGGGUUAAUAAAGAAAUGUAAUUUAUUAUUAAGUGCCUUAUCAUGUGUAAACUUUAUCUUCACAAUUUAAUAAGGAGGAGUCACUGUUACAGCCACGUAUGGCUGAUGAAACAAUGGCAUGGAAGGUACAAUAACUUACUCAAGACUAGUAAGUGGCAGAGCCAGUGUUUGACACCUAAUCUUUCUGACCCUGAUUCCUAUGCUAUUUCCACCCCCUUUCCCGUGGCAAAUUGAUUUUUGAUUGCACACUAAUUUGAGUGGGCUCAGGGUGGGACCUGGCUUAUUGUCACUGAAGUUAGGAGAGGCUGACAGAAAAUGUGGACUGGAGCAGUGUACCAGAGGGACCAGAAUCAUGUGGUAGCUGUGGCUAUGUGCCUUCUGCUGCAAUGCAGUUUGCAUGGGAAGCCAGAGGGGGGCAGAGUCAGAGCAGGAAGGAUGGGCAACCUUGAAGUUGAGGUACCCUUGACCUGUGACAACUCCAUUAUAAAACGUGCCUAUCAGGUAGGACAGAAACUUCGUGCCAGCUCAUCACAGCACCCUCCUCUCUACCCCAGUCCUAUGUAGACAUCCACUCACUUCUUAACAAAUUCCUUGUUCACAGUUGUCUGGGUUACAGCUCUUUAGAUAUCUUUUCAUCCUGAGCCUAGAUGGUCAUUACCUGAAGUGCACUGAGUACUUGGAAAGGAAGUUUGCAAACAUCCCUUGUAGAGUAGCAUUCGGCAAAUGGUUAAGCUAUUCAUUUUAUGUGAGUGUAUUGAUUCAUUUCAUCCUAAAAAAACAGCCUCCAAAAUGUGAAAGUAUCUUACACUAGGCUGAAUAUGCUGAAUACAAGUAUCAGCAGCAAUAAAAUUUAAGUGGCCUCUUCUAUCUAAAUUAAACAGGAAAAUAGCCUGUGUGAUUAUAAUGCAGAUGAACCAACUGUGCUAUUUGGCAUGGAUCUUCACUGAGGCACCGAGCAGUGUUCUGAAUUAUAUUGCAUUUCUUUGAUUUUUUAAAAAAAAUAAAUGUAAUUGAAGAGCCAACAUGAUUGCUGUUCACUGCUUCCUUUUGGCAGUAUUUUUCAGCAAUAAUCCAGGCCUGAAUGUCACAGUUUUCAGGAAUGUUAUGCUAAUCCACAGUGACUGUGGGUGAAUGAGAGUGCACCAAACAAGAAGCCUAAGGGCCCAGAAGCAUUUAUGAAUAUAAAGUAGAAACAACUCUUAAUGGUCUCAGUGAGGAUGGCCAAGUGUUUUAAAUAAUCAAGGCUUGAAAGAUAUUCUCACUUUGUUACUAGCGGCCAUGUUUCACAGAACCCUGCCCUGCCUCUAAUAAUAAUAAUAAUAAUAAUAAUAAUAAUAAUAAUAAUAGCUAAGACUUAUUGUUUGGUAUAUGUGAGAUACUGUGUUAAGCACGUUCUGUGAAUUCUUUUGCAUUUUCAGAACAGGCCAAUGAAAUUGGCGUUCUUAUUAGUGUCAGUUUUAUAAAACUUUGUAAAAGAUUUAGGGAGAAUGAUAAUUUUCUUAAAAUCACACCCAAAGGAAUUGGGAGAGCCAGAAUUUGAACCCACACUUCAAGGUGCAUGUGCUUACCAACACUGCAUCAUAUUAAACUUUCAUACCUUAUUAAAUGCAUAAGAGGUGUCUGAGAUUCUCUUGUGGGCGGUCAAGAGAUAAUCUAGGAGAGAGAAGGAAAAGUUGAGUUACCCUACUAUACAUAAAAGAAUUUAGACAUUUUUUGGCGAUGUCUUUACUGUGAUUCUAUUAGCAUUCAUGUUAUUAUAAGACUUCAUAUUUUAUAAAUUGAAAGAAAACUGAUCUGGGAUGAUCAGAUGCAUUCUCUCUCUCUCUCUCUCUCUCUCUCUCUCUCUCUCUCUCUCUUUCUUUUUCUCUCUCUAACUAGAAAAAUAGUUAUGAUUAAGUAUGGAAGGACACAUUAAAGAUAGAAAAUGAUAAAUGAGAAUAUUGGGAGGAUUUAAGAUAAAAUGUAUAUAAGUGUGAACUGGAAAAUUUGUAUUAUGAUUAAAAGAACAUUUAAGUAUAUAUGCAUUCACUUAUCCAGUAGCUCUAAUUGAGUACUUAGUAUUUAAUAGGAAAGGGGAGUAAACCAAUACAGAGCCAUGAUCUUCGCCCUCGAGAAGCUCACAGAUUAGUUGGAGUGAGAUUUUCAAGGGAAAAUGUGUAAUAUACUCUGCAAAUACAGGUUUUAUGGGAUCUUCAAAGAGAGGGUCUGCAUCCUGACUAAAGAAAUCAGGGAAGGCUUUGCAGAAAAGGUAAUGAUAGGUUUAAUACAUUAAAUAGAGAUUUGCUUGCUAAAUAAUGAGGAGGAAAAUCCUUGGGGAGGAAGUCACAGAUCUGGAAAGAGUGUGGAAUGUUGGGAAAUUAAGAACGGCUUGCUAAAUGGAAAGCUAAGUAUUCUUAGGGAGAGUGGUGGUUGAUGAGCCUGGGUAGACAAGUAGGGAUCGAGACUAAGAAACUUUCUGUGACAUGCCAGCAUUUUGAUUUAAUUAUGGGGAGAAAAAUGUAGACAAGAUAAUAAGAAGAUCCAAUCCAGUAUUCAAGUGAAAAUUAUCUUUCUGACGGCAGAAUGAAUAGCAAUGUUUUGAAGAUGUGAUUGAUUGAUUGAUUUUUUUCAGCUGUAACAUAUUGCCUCAAACUUAGUGGUUUAAAAAAAAAAAAAGGAACUUAACAGUUUUGGAGGUCAGGAGCCCUAAAAUCAAAGUGCUGGCAGGACUGAGCUCCAUCCGGAGGCUAAAGGAGAGAAUUAGUUCCUUUUCCAGUUUCUAGAGGCUGCUUGCUUAGUUUACUCGGACCCCUCUAUCUUACUAUCUUCAAAGCUGGCAGUGUAACAGCUUCAUGGACUCUUCAAAUAGCUCCCUCCCCCUCCUUUUUCCUGACCCCUGCAUUUUCUCUUAAAAAGAGUUAAAGUUACUAACAAGAUACAGGCUAGAAAGUUUCAUUCAUUUAUACAUUCAAUACAAAGCUUAUGAAAAAAAUAACUAUUCUGAAGAAAAAAGAGAGGUCUUGGUUCCUAUGUUUUUCUUUUAAAGACUUUGCUACUUUGUGUUGGGAAGAAGGAUGGCAUAGUGGUAAUGGUGCGGCCCUGGAGUUAGACAGUGUAGGUCUGAGUUCUGGCUCCCUUGUUUUCCAUGACCCUUGGGCAAGUCACGUGCUCUGUAAGCUUCCACCAUCCUCAGCCAUACGUGGGCAUGGCAGUGGCAAUUACUUCCUUGUGUCAUUGUAGAUAUUGAAUGAAACAACAUGUGUAAAGCACUUAGCUCAUUGAAUGGCAUGUAGCGAGCAGUCAACUAACAUUAGCUGUCAUCAUCCUCAUAAUUAUUAUUUUAAACUAUUCCCCUGCUACUGUCAAAAGAACAGAGUAGUUCUGUAUGUCAUAUGUUAACUACAAUAAAGUUGGUUGCAGAACAAUAUGUACAGCAAUGUCCUGUUUUUAUAAAAGAAAAAUACAAACCUGCAUGUGUAUUUUGAAAGGUCCGAAAGGAUUCAUACGAUCCAGCGUUUAAUAAUACUUACAUCGGGGCAAUUGGGAAGACUUUUAGGCCUUGUGAACAUUUUUAUUUUUGUGAUUUUUUAAAACACAAUUGAUAAAGAGAAAAAUCACUCCAUCAUAACCCUGCUGAGGGGAGAGUCCUAAGGUGUCUAAAUGUAUAGAGAGAAGGUUCAUUCCACCCAGACAGGCUCUCCCCCAGUGAACGCAAUGUGAAGGAGGGGUGGGGGUCAGUGGGAGGGGCCUGGGCAAAGGGCACAGAGAGGGGAAGGAUGGAGACACCUGGAGGAUGUGAAUUGACCCAUUUUCCCAUUUGGUUGGAGCCAGGUUGUGUGGAAGAAUGGUGGGAAACAGGACCGAGUUUGGUGCUCUCAAUGCAAAGCCACGUGUUCUCACUGUGGUAGGGACAUGUGAGGCAUCAGCUGGGAGGGUUGGGACAGGGAGCAGGAAGUCCUGGCAGGCUCUCCUCAGGUCAGCCGGGCCUGCAGCCGCUGUCUGAAUCAGGGGCGGGCAGGAGAAAUGGGUGGUCCAGGCAUCCAAAGGGAAGAAGACUUUGGCAGUUUUGUGGUGACGGUUGGAAGUAGAAAGCGAAGGAGAAGGUAAGAAUGGCAGGCUUUAAACCUGGUGACAACAUUAGGGAAUAACAUUGCAGGAGGGAAGGUAGGCGGAGGCGGGAGAUGCUUUGUUGGACACACUGUUUAUUUCAAAGUAUGGAUGGAACAUUUAGCUGGACACGACUUGGAGUUCUGCAGAAAGACUGGGAACAGAUAUGAGCUGGCAGCCUCAACAUGACGGUUGAAGAGUCAGGACUAGAUGGAAUGACUUUGGUCUUGUGAACAUUUUUAUUUUUGUGAUUUUUUAAAACACAAUUGAUAAAGUUUCAAUUUCCAUCUCCCUGGACAGUCUUUAACCAAUUCUAUAGUCACAUAAUAAUGAAUGUAAUUAUAUUAUAUAUUUGUAUAGUCUAUUACAGUUUAUAAAGUACUUUCACACUGAUGUCAUCAUUGUUACAUCUCAUCCAUUUAAUGGGUCAAAUGGAUCAGAAAACCAAGACCCGGAGAUUUUAAGUGACUUAGUCAAGAUCACAGAGAUGAUCAUGCCACACAGAUGGCAGACUUGGAUCUUAAACCAGAACUUUUUCCCAAUUAAUUGCAGUUUUUACCAUAACAGUACAGCCUUUCUUAUAGAAAAAAAAAAAAUACCUAAAAUAGUCUA